rnacentral:snRNA from 1 species
GUUGCUUGGGCAAUAUACCCUCAAAUUGGUACCAAGAAGAUUGGAAUAACCCUUGCAGAAGGAAGACACAGAAGUUCAUCAAAUGUUCUAUAAUUUU